rnacentral:rRNA from 1 species
UCUAGAGAUAGAGCGUUCCCCUUCGGGGGACAGAGUGACAGGUGGUGCAUGGUUGUCGUCAGCUCGUGUCGUGAGAUGUUGGGUUAAGUCCCGCAACGAGCGCAACCCUUGAUCUUAGUUGCCAGCAUUUAGUUGGGCACUCUAAGGUGACUGCCGGUGACAAACCGGAGGAAGGUGGGGAUGACGUCAAAUCAUCAUGCCCCUUAUGACCUGGGCUACACACGUGCUACAAUGGAUGGUACAAAGGGCUGCAAGACCGCGAGGUCAAGCCAAUCCCAUAAAACCAUUCUCAGUUCGGAUUGUAGGCUGCAACUCGCCUACAUGAAGCUGGAAUCGCUAGUAAUCGCG